GCCUGGGUGGCUCAGUCAGUUAAGCGUCGGACUUUGACUCUGGUCACAUGAUCUCACAGUCCGUGGGUUCGAACCCUGCGUCAGGCU
rnacentral:tRNA from 1 species